rnacentral:rRNA from 1 species
GACGAACCGUGCAAACGUUGUUCGGAUUCAUUGGGCGUAAAGGGUGCGUAGGUGGCGCUGUAAGUCGGGUGUGAAAUUUCGGAGCUUAACUCCGAAACUGCAUUCGAUACUGCGGUGCUCGAGGACUGGAGAGGAGACUGGAAUUCAUGGUGUAGCAGUGAAAUGCGUAGAGAUCAUGAGGAAGACCAGUGGCGAAGGCGGGUCUCUGGACAGUUCCUGACACUGAGGCACGAAGGCCAGGGGAGCAAACGGG